UAACCUUUCCCUUAUGAUAGCUACCUUCUCAGUAGUCUUCUGAAUAACUUAUGGACGCAAUAACUCCCUUUCACCAACCUAUACGAUGCCACGCCAAUACUAGAGUGAUAAUUGUUGUCAUAAGAAAAUUCAAUUAAUAGUAAAUGAUCUGCCCAACUACCCUUGAAGUCCAAAACACAAGCCCGAAGCAUAUCUUUCGUUACCUGAUCACCAAUGCAAACUCUAGAAUUCAC
rnacentral:lncRNA from 1 species